UGUUGCUUCAUUGUUACACAGAAAUGAGUUGAUAUUGAGAUAAAAAUGGCUGCAUUGGACCUUUAACAUCAGUUGAGCUCAAUAAAGGGUUGUGGUUUGUUAUUUCCUAUGGGUACAGGACCACCGGGCACGACCAUGGCUCGCCAUCCAUUCCACCCCUCAUCCCUUCCUCUCUCCCUCCCCAGUCCCCAAAAUCUUUCCUGUUUGUUCAGAUGUGGCCCAGGCAAUUAUGAUCAAGGCAAUAUUCCAGACAGCCCCGGCCUUAUCAGGACCCUCGUUUGCUCCCUAGAAACUUCAGAACGAGCGUGAGAGAGCUACUAAUUUGGAGAGAAGAGAGAUGGAGAGGAGGAAGAGACGCAUUAGGCCCUGGCCUUUGGCCAUCCUAAUGGACAGCAAGAGCAGACCCGCUGCCUGCCUUCAUCUCCCUCGUGCCCCUUUGUCCCUGGCACAUCAGACAAGGCCAAAUGGUCACAGCCAAGUUGGCCUCCGACUGACUACAUACAAGACUACUUAAUCAGAGAGGGACAUAGACGAGCAUGUGAGGAGGGCUGUCUCUCAGGUUGACACAGGAGAAGUCUCCCGCUGAGUUCCCCACAGACAUCUCCGAC